rnacentral:lncRNA from 1 species
UACUCCUACCCUAAUUAAAACUGUGCUGGUUUGGGGAUAGUUACCCCAUGAAUCAAUUUGGAAAUUCUAGACCAUAAAAUUUCGACUCACACCCAAUCCCUCAGCUGAAGAAAGAAAAGCUAAAAGAAGGGGAAAGCUGUAGGGUUGGGGAGUUGGAGCAGAAGAGGGUUAAGCAGGAAGAAAAAAAAAGAGUAGGCCAUUAAGAAAAUAAAAACUCAGGCCCUACAUUAGGAAGAACAAAAAUUCAGAAUGCCAUUCCUCCAGGUAUUCUCCUUCUUGGCUGGGAGGGCUGGUGGGGAAGGAAAAUUUCACAACAGCCCAAUGAAUGGAUGGCUUGUUUCCCUCCAAGGAGGCUUACAGCUGGACACCAGUAGUCCGAAUAGCAGUCCUGUUUCUCAGGCAGGCUUCCAAGGCCGCCAAGUGUUACAAGCCCUUCAUAGAGCAGUGGAUUUUAAAGGUGAAUUGAAACUAUUUUAAGAUCCCUCUUGGGUAGCAGAUGGACAGAAUGACGGAUUGUUACUAUGGUGUAGUUGUUUUCAUUCCUGGCCCAACUGCCACACUAAGCACAUAGCACUGUGGGCUCCACAAGGGACAGGCAUGGUUUGCUCUCUCUGCAAGCACGAUGUGUUCUG